AGCUCUCUGCUAAAGGUUACUGAAGUAUAGGGGGUGAAUUCUGCCCAAUGGUUGUACAGUGAAACUAAGGACUAACGUCUAAAGCGAAACCCAACUGAAUGGCCGCGGUAACUCUGACCGUGAUAAUGUAGCACAAUAAAUAGCCAAUUAAUUGUUGGCGGGUAUGAAUGGAACCACGAGGGUCUUACUGUCUCAAGAGGAAAGCCGAUGAAAUUAUAGUUGUAGUGAAGAUACUACAUAAACAUUGUAAGACGAAAAGACCCUAUCGAGCUUUACUGGAUACCGAUAGCGUUAACCUAAAAUGAUCGAUACUAAGUACCCUAAUUUUAAGUUAAUAAUUUUUGUUGGUAGGACAGUUUAGUUGGGGCGACUACCUUUGAAUAAGAAACGAAGGCGAGCUUAUGGUAUACAAAGCUAAUCUCAUUAGCCUGAUAGUGAGGGGGACACCCCUAGCUGGCACAAGGACUACGUCCUAUGUGGGCGAUAAUGACCCGAUAUAAUAGUCCAAAAUAAAUAUCGAAAGCGGAUAAAAGCUACCGUAGGGAUAACAGCGUAAUAUUGUCGGAGAGUUCUUAUCGAGGACAGUGUUUGCGACCUCGAUGUUGAAUUGCGGUGCCCUGGUGCUGUAGAAGGUACCUGAGGUUGGUCUGUUCGACCAUGAAAACCGU
rnacentral:rRNA from 1 species